rnacentral:rRNA from 1 species
AUGGUACUCCCGCCAACAGAACCAACCGGCACGAAGAAACAAGAUGAACGCAAGAAGAAAAACAAACGACAAAGGGUAGAAAAAGAACAAGACGAUAUCAACAGCAAAGGUUCAGAUACCAAUGAUGACGACGAUGACAGAGAGCAUGAUGCAGAUUUCAUUCCUACAGACGGCUAUGAUGCCGAAGAGCACGACAGCGCCGCAGAGCAUGACGACGAUCCAAAAUCAGGCAAGAAGGUCAGAAACAGGAGAAAGGCAAGCGGGAAAGAAUUGGCAGCACCAACAGUUGACAAAGAACAGGAAGAAACAAACGAAGAGAAAUGCCAAAUCAAGGCAGGGGCAGCAUUCGCUCAUGUCAAGAAAGCAUGGAAUUUACUUAAAGACCGUCACCAGAAAGAUAUUAGGACGGCAGGAUUUGGUAGCAUAGAGAACUACAAAAUAACGGGCUCCAUCUGCAGACCACUCGACACAGAAAGCAUGACAAUAACCUUCGAUGAUGGUACGGAAGACAAAAAAAUCAAGAUUACCAAGGAAGGUAUCCACAAGGUGUUUGGAUACCCAAACGGCACACAAAGGUCAGCACCAAGGCCAGAGACUAGCCCAGCUUCAACGAAAGAACUGAUGUCAGACCUUGGCUUCAAAGAUACAAAAUUCGCGCCAAAACAAUUGUUCGAAAAGCUAGAAAUAUUGGUGGAAAUAGAUGACGAACAGUCAAACAGGAAAUCAGUUAAAAUAUUUUUCCUUAUUUUUUUCCACAAUGUUGUCUGCGGGUCAAGCGCCGCUAUCUUCGCCCGACAAGCCAUUAUGGUCAAGGACUUGGACUAUCCAGAAAUGGCAAAGAUGGAUUUCUGCCAGGUAAUUGUCGAAAGUAUUAAGGAAGGAGCCAAGACAUGGCAGAAGCACAAGAUGUUGCCUCAGGAAGAAAAGAACAAAAAGCACAUCAAUGGUUUGGCACAGGGACCAGUAAUAAUGUACCUUGACUCCCUGCUGCUGCCAACUGACACAAAAGAAAUGCGGAAGAUUGCAAAGACAAUGGACAAGACCUCAGUACCACAAGCAAACCAUCUCAAAGAGAGUGACCUAGCGAAAAUAGCUAGAGCAGACAUGAAAAGGGACGGAAAAGCACGACCAGAUGACUAUGAAUUUGGCAAGAUACAUAUAGCAGGAGAACAUCGUAAAGAACAGCAACACCAGCACACGACCAAACUGCUACCACCUCCACCCAAACGCCGGCGUGAACCAUGUAUCGGCACCAGUGGAAGCACAGAACCAAACAAAAGCAUCAGCACAGGACUAGAAGAAAGAUUCCAAAGGAUAAACAAAUUGUUGGAAAAAGUACUCCAUGAAGUAGAACAGUUACCCGCAGUAACUACCAGGGCUAAACACCAAUGCAACGAAAAAGAAGAGAGAUUGGAUAAAAAAACAAGGAGAAAGUCGUGCAACAAACAAUGGCCCUGA